UUUAGCAAGAACCCCUGAGCAAAAAGAAUUUUAGUUCAGCCCCCCGAAACUAGACGAGCUACUUCAAGACAGCCUGUUGAAUAAACACCCGUAGGGCACACCCGUCUCUGUCGCAAAAGAGUGGGAAGAUCUUCAAGUAGAGGUGACAAACCUACCGAGCCUAGUUAUAGCUGGUUGUCUAAGAAGUGGAUUUAAGUUCAGCCUCCUGACCUCAUUAAUCAACGGCGUUACGCCCCCCACAGAUCGACGAUAGUCAAGAGAGUUAGUCAAAGGGGGUACAGCCCCUUUGAAAAAGGAUACAACCUCUACAGGUGAAAAAAGAUCAUACAACAUAAAGGAAACUAAUUUUAGUGGGCCCAAAAGCAGCCACCUAUGAAGAAAGCGUUGUAGCUCCCAUAGUUCCCAAGCCCUUAAUACCGAAACCCCACUCUUCACUCCCUAACACUAUUAGACCCUCCCACAAACCCUGGGAGAGACCCUGCUAAAAUGAGUAACAAGAGGGAACGCCCCUCUCCUAUCACACAUGUAAGUCGGAACGGACUAACCCCCGACAAUUAACGAGCCCCUAACGAGGGUAGUGUGGCACCACAUAAACAGCAAGAAGACCCCACACGGAAAUUCGUUACCCCAACACAGGUGUGAACCCAUGGAAAGAUUAAACCAAAGGGAAGGAACUCGGCAAACACAAGCCUCGCCUGUUUACCAAAAACAUCGCCUCUUGCAAAAUGAACAAAUAAGAGGUCCCGCCUGCCCAGUGACUAUAUGUUAAACGGCCGCGGUAUUUUGACCGUGCAAAGGUAGCGCAAUAAAUUGUCUCUUAAUUGGAGACUAGUAUGAAUGGCAUCACGAGGGCUUUACUGUCUCCCCUUUAAAAUCAGUGAAAUUGAUCUCCCCGUGCAGAAGCGGGGAUACACUCGUAAGACGAGAAGACCCUAUGGAGCUUAAGAUAUAAAUUAACCCACGUCAAAAACCCAAAGAGGAAAAGAACAGAGUGAACUUAAUAGCAUGUCUUUGGUUGGGAUGACCGCGGAGAAAAACAAAACCCCCGCACGGACAGGCCAAUCAGCCCUAAAACAUAGACCCACAGGUCAAAUCAACAGUAUUUCUGACCGACAGACCCGGCACAAGCCGAUUAAUGGACCUAGUUACCCUAGGGAUAACAGCGCAAUCCCCUCCAAGAGACCUUAUCAACGAGGGGGUUUACGACCUCGAUGUUGGAUCAGGACAUCCUAAUGGUGCAGUCGCUAUUAAGG
rnacentral:rRNA from 1 species